AGAAUUCAAUCUGAAAAAUAGAAAUACAACAUAAAUAUCAGACAUCCCAAGAGAUGCAGAGACAAAAAGCAAACCCAGAGUUUACAUGUUACAGCUGUGGCCAGAAGGGACACAAAGUGUUACAAUAUCCGACAAACUAUAAAGGACAAAGGCAAUGGUGAAGUUUCUGUAUAAACUCCAGUCACAAAGAGAGUAAUUGUUGAAAAAAGAAAGUGUGAAACUGUUGGGAUCUGGAGAUCUGCCCACCUUUCUCCAGCAGAGGGCGCCCUAGGUCUCCUGGAGCUGAAGCUGACUACCACACCUGCGGCUGAUUUGCUCAUCAGGAGGAGCAGCAUAUAAGCAGCGGCAGAACUACUCUUCAGUGCCAGAGUGUUAAGCUAGCUACGUAAGAAUCUGACUGAGACCCUGGAGCUCUGGAAGAGCUACUCAACUGAAACCUGCCUGCCUGCUCUCAGUAACAAACCUGAAGAUCAAACUGUCUGGAUCUGCCUCCCAUCCUUCAAGAAGUAACUUGAAGAAGCUCUUAACACUCACAGCCUGAAGCUAAGUCCUGUCGCAGCCAAGCCCUCUGCCAACGAUCAGUCUCUAGACCCUCCUGGUUCCCUCCCUCUGCCGCUCAGCCAGAAUCUCUGAACAGAGAGACCUUGUGUGACCAGUCCCGGAUCUGAUUCCAGCAUCUGUCAUCUAACCUUGUGUUUAUCAUUGAUUCCAGAAUCUGUGAAACAACCUUGUGCAAACCCUUAAUAAAUUGUUAAACUUUA